rnacentral:tRNA from 1 species
AGGAGAAUAGUUGAAAUAACAUCUUUUUUGCAAGAAGAAAUUAUUGAAUAAAAUCAAUUUCUCUUA